GUUUGCUAAAUCCGCAUGUCAUGUAUUAAAAAAGGGUGUUCCACCACAAUAAAUUGAAACAAUCAAUUGGUAGUAAACGCAGCUAGCAAACAAUCAAAAACCCCAUGAGAUGAGGGUAUCAUGAAAACAAUAAAAAAGGUCUCUACAAAUUCGGAUCCACUUCUACUCAGUGAGACUUGAUGUGUUGCUGAACAACAUUAAGACCUUCACUCUCCUCGCCAUAAUCCUGAACCACGACACAAGAGCAACCAACCACCUUCCUGGCUUUGCCCUCAGAAUCAAUCUUACACAACUGCAGUAAGGACCCAAGGAAUAUCAUGAGACGAUGUUAGAAUUAGCAAAUCAUAACUAGAUUGAGGAAGUGAACAAAGUAGUCCAGAUUGAAAAAGUAUUGAUCUGUUAUCUGUAGCACAGCAGGAUAGAAAAAUCAACUAAACUGGUACGUGGUUUCAGAAAACAAAUUAGACAAGUUUAAAUCAUAUUUCAUUGAGUCCACCAAAUAUUUGGAGAGAUGCAAAGUACCACAACUACUAGAGCCAUUACCCAACAAUGUACAAGAAUAGAUAUAAUUAAGACUCACACCAAUGAAGCUAGUGUUUUGUGCAAUGAUUUCCUGUUAUUCUUUCAGAGGUCUUCCCCAAACUCACAUCUUUUCAAAUUAUAAGGCCAACGAGGGAUAAAAUCAAUCUUUAUUCAAAGAUAGAUUCAAGAAAAAAAGAAAGCACAAGCAUACAUUAGUUGCCCCUAGUAUUUUCACUGGACUUCCCAUCUCAUGCAUAUAUCCAUGAAUCUCAAUAACUAUGAGUCAGUUAAAAAUAAUCUGCCACUAAUUAACACAUUUUAAUGAUUUUACAAAGUUAGCAAGACUUUUUAUCAUUAAAAGAAACAUGAUGAUGAAUGCAUAAAUAUUAUUUAAAAAGGAAAUACCACGGUGGAAUUCAGUUGAAAAUAUUUGACAUAACUUCAAGAAAGAAAUCCCACACAUCUGAAAGCUAGCCUACAAACCCACCCUAUGCAAACCCACCUGCCAAGGGUCUUACAUCGGGAACAAUUAACAGGAUGCUAAUGUUUUACACAGUGGAAGCUGAAACAGAGAAAAUGCUAUGACUAGUAGUUGUAUAACACAAUCACAACUAACUGCAUUUAGCAUGCCAAAUAUUCUCCGCAUUUUCUAUUCUUACACAACUCUUUCAACUAACCCAGAUCAAUUUUGAAAUUAUUAGUCCAACAAGGCAUGAGAAAUCAUCAUUUUCAUUCAGAGAUCCGAGAUGUGUAGAAAGCCCAAGCAAUGCAUAGAUUGGUAGCCCCAGCAUCCACAACGGACUUCCCCAUCAUGCGCGUAUAUUCAUGUCAUGAAUCUUACAAUUAUGUCUCCAUUAAAAUAGGAAUAAAAAUAAAACACAAACCUUUACGAUCUUAGCUAAUAAAAAGCUGUAUCAAUAAAACAAAUAUUGUGUUCAAUGCAUGUAAUUAAAGAAGAAGAGCAUAGAUUUCAAUUGAAAAAAAAAAGAUAUUAUAAAAGCUAGCAAACGAAGAAUACUCACGCCAGCCCACUCGCCAAGGGUCUUAGCACUAGGAAUAGUCAAAAGCCCAACACCAUGAUCGGCACAAAGGCCUUUGACAAGUUUAACAUAGUCCGGCUGGUUGCAGUCCUCUGCCAAUACGCAGAGCUGGGCAGUAUGCUUCUCGAUCACUUUUGCACCUUCGUGAAGACCUCGAAUAAGCCCACCAUGAGCCAAAGAUCUUCUGAGGACUAGCUGCAAUGCAGUCAUCAAGUCCAUGGCUUCACCGAGAGGUGCAGGUGUCUCAACAGCAACGGUACCUUCCUCACCUGACAUUUUGUUGCUGAAUGAUCUGGUUCGUGGAGAAAUUGAGGCAGCUCCUCAAUAAGCUAAGCGAUUUUAAGAUUGCAGAUGGGCAAAUCCACAAGUGGCCCAAAUCAGGACAAAAACUAUAUUUUUUUGAGGUAAGAAGACAAAUUCACAAAAAAUGAAAAGGGAAUUUCCUUCGUAGUAUCUGGGCAAAAGUUCAU
rnacentral:misc_RNA from 1 species